rnacentral:rRNA from 1 species
AUUGAACGCUGGCGGCAUGCCUUACACAUGCAAGUCGAACGGCAGCACGGGAGCAAUCCUGGUGGCGAGUGGCGAACGGGUGAGUAAUACAUCGGAACGUGCCCAAUCGUGGGGGAUAACUACGCGAAAGCGUAGCUAAUACCGCAUACGAUCUACGGAUGAAAGCAGGGGAUCGCAAGACCUUGCGCGAAUGGAGCGGCCGAUGGCAGAUUAGGAGUUGGUGAGGUAAAGGCUCACCAAGCCUUCGAUCUGUAGCUGGUCUGAGAGGACGACCAGCCACACUGGGACUGAGACACGGCCCAGACUCCUACGGGAGGCAGCAGUGGGGAAUUUUGGACAAUGGGCGCAAGCCUGAUCCAGCCAUGCCGCGUGCAGGAUGAAGGCC